rnacentral:rRNA from 1 species
CAACCCUUAGGGGAGGAAGCUGCCGAAGGUAAAACCAAUGACUAGGGUGAAGUCGUAACAAGGUAGCCGUAUCGGAAGGUGCGGCUGGAUCACCUCCUUUCUAAGGAA